AACGCCGCGUGAGUUGAAGAAGGUUUUCGGCAUCCUAAAACUCUGUUGUUAGAGAAAGAAUAGGGGAAAGAGUAACUGUUUUCCUCGUGACGGUAUCUAACCAGAAAGCCACGGCUAACUACGUGCCAGCAGCCGCGGUAAUACGUAGGUGGCAAGCGUUGUCCGGAUUUAUUGGGCGUAAAGCGAGCGCAGGCGGUUUUUUAAGUCUGAUGUGAAAGCCCCCGGCUCAACCGGGGAGGGUCAUUGGAAACUGGAAGACUUGAGUGCAGAAGAGGAGAGUGGAAUUCCAUGUGUAGCGGUGAAAUGCGUAGAUAUAUGGAGGAACACCAGUGGCGAAGGCGGCUCUCUGGUCUGUAACUGACGCUGAGGCUCGAAAGCGUGGGGAGCAAACAGGAUUAGAUACCCUGGUAGUCCACGCCGUAAACGAUGAGUGCUA
rnacentral:rRNA from 1 species